UACGUAGGGUGCAAGCGUUGUCCGGAAUUAUUGGGCGUAAAGAGCUCGUAGGCGGUCUGUCGCGUCUGCUGUGAAAACUCAGGGCUUAACCCUGAGCUUGCAGUGGGUACGGGCGGACUAGAGUGCGGUAGGGGAGACUGGAAUUCCUGGUGUAGCGGUGAAAUGCGCAGAUAUCAGGAGGAACACCGGUGGCGAAGGCGGGUCUCUGGGCCGUAACUGACGCUGAGGAGCGAAAGUGUGGGGAGCGAACAGG
rnacentral:rRNA from 1 species